rnacentral:rRNA from 1 species
GUUGUGAGGUUAAGCGACCAAGCGUACACGGUGGAUGCCUAGGCAGUCAGAGGCGAUGAAGGACGUGCUAAUCUGCGAUAAGCGCCGGUAAGGUGAUAUGAACCGUUAUAACCGGCGAUUUCCGAAUGGGGAAACCCAGUGUGACUCGUCACACUAUCGUUAAGUGAAUACAUAGCUUAACGAAGCGAACCAGGGGAACUGAAACAUCUAAGUACCCUGAGGAAAAGAAAUCAACCGAGAUUCCCCCAGUAGCGGCGAGCGAACGGGGAGCAGCCCAGAGUCUGAAUCAGCAUGUGUGUCAGUGGAAGCGUCUGGAAAGUCGCAGGGUACAGGGUGAUACUCCCGUACACGAAGAUGCAUAUGCUGUGAACUCGAAGAGUAGGGCGGGACACGUGGUAUCCUGUCUGAAUAUGGGGGGACCAUCCUCCAAGGCUAAAUACUCCUGACUGACCGAUAGUGAACCAGUACCGUGAGGGAAAGGCGAAAAGAACCCCGGCGAGGGGAGUGAAAUAGAACCUGAAACCGUGUACGUACAAGCAGUGGGAGCACCCUUGUGGUGUGACUGCGUACCUUUUGUAUAAUGGGUCAGCGACUUAUAUUCUGUAGCAAGGUUAACCGUAUAGGGGAGCCGAAGGGAAACCGAGUCUUAACUGGGCGUUAAGUUGCAGGGUAUAGACCCG